UUGCAACCUCUCCAUUUCCAGACCAAGCUGGAGACCAGAAGCAAAGUUCUGCUGGGGGGUGAAGAGAGAAGGAGAAAGAGGAAGCCCUGAGGCUAUAGAAACACCCUGAGACUGUAUCUGAUUAUUUCCUCCUGUCUUCAUCUCAGAGGUACCCCUGCUGCAGCUGAUACGGAUGGAGUGGAGGGAGCCAGGCUCCCAUCCCAGUUCAGUGAAACCUGGAGGUCAAUAUCACACCUUUCCUGGAGGAUAAAAGCUCCUGUACCACCAGAGGGCACUUUGGCAGUGUUUCAAAUCUGACAUCAUCACAGCCCCUGCGAACCUCUGGAGUUGAAGUGAAAUCUUCACCACCUCUCCUGAAAUCCAGGAGCUGGGGACUGUGGGGGCUGAGAGACACUGACGUCACCUCUGCUGCACACCAGGAACCUGAAGCCUUGAGAGAUGACUUGAUCACCACAACUCUAUUAUAGGACCUAAAAGGACCUCUGAGAUUGGAAGAUGAUUGCAUCUCUCUGCUCUAUUACAGCAAACAGUGAACCUCCAGGGCCAAGGGAUAAAUGCACUGUCUCUGGAGUAUUAUAGAACUUAAAAAGCAUCACUCACUGACUCACAGCUGUCUUCCCCCCUCCACCACCACCACCUUCAACUUAUUUCAGCAUCCAGCCACCUCCUGCACUGAGAGUCCUCAUCACCUAUUGGUGCAUCUUGUUGAGAGCAGAGAUCAGGGUUAAUUUAUCCUGGCUUGCUCCUUAAGUGGGACAUCAUCAAGCUGAGGAGUUUCUUCAAAUACUACUUCAAAG
rnacentral:lncRNA from 1 species